rnacentral:misc_RNA from 1 species
UCCGGUUUGGCACCGGCAGUCCUUCCAGAGUCCUCGGCAUUACCCGGUAGCAACUGGAAGCGAGGGUUGCGCUCGUUGCGGGACUUAACCCAACAUCUCACGACACGAGCUGACGACAGCCAUGCAGCACCUGUGCACGAGUCCCGAAGGAGGCCCUCGGUUUCUCGAGGGUUUCUCGUGUAUGUCAAGCCUAGGUAAGGUUCUUCGCGUUGCGUCGAAUUAAACCACAUGCUCCACUGCUUGUGCGGGCCCCCGUCAAUUCCUUUGAGUUUCAGCCUUGCGGCCGUACUCCCCAGGCGGGGCACUUAAUGCGUUAGCGCCGGCACUCAGAGGGUCGCUCCCCCAAGCACCUAGUGCCCAUCGUUUACGGCGUGGACUAC